GGUCCGCUCUCCCCUCGGGGAGGCCCUGAAGCACCAGACCUGGCAGCCCUUCCUGGAGCUGCGAAGACCCACCUGGCUCCUCCUCCCUGAGCUCCUGGCCUCCUCAUACGAGACCAGACUUGAACUUAAGUCACCACCAUAUCCCAAGGGUUUGCGUCCUCAAGGGAAAGACUUUCUUUUGAUUGGGGGUUCUGGAGCUGGUGCAAUUCGUCCUGAGUCCUCAUUCUUUCUGAAGGAGGUACCAAUUCUGUGCCAGGAAAAAAAUGGAGUUCGCAGAAAGAGAUGUUUACAAAGAAAUAGAAAAAAAAGCAUUACAAAGACUCCCUAAAAUAAACCAAAAAGCUAACCUC